rnacentral:rRNA from 1 species
AACCUACGGGGGGCAGCAGUCGGGAAUAUUGCGCAAUGGAGGAAACUCUGACGCAGUGACGCCGCGUAUAGGAAGAAGGUUUUCGGAUUGUAAACUAUUGUCAUUAGGGAAGAUAAAAGACUGUACCUAAGGAGGAAGCCCCGGCUAACUAUGUGCCAGCAGCCGCGGUAAUACAUAGGGGGCAAGCGUUAUCCGGAUUUACUGGGUGUAAAGGGAGCGUAGACGGCAGUGCAAGUCUGGAGUGAAAGGCGGGGGCUCAACCCCCGGACUGCUCUGG